AUUGAACGCUGGCGGCAUGCCUUACACAUGCAAGUCGAACGGCAGCACGGGAGCAAUCCUGGUGGCGAGUGGCGAACGGGUGAGUAAUAUAUCGGAACGUGCCCAGUCGUGGGGAUAACGUAGCGAAAGCUACGCUAAUACCGCAUACGAUCUAUGGAUGAAAGCGGGGGAUCGCAAGACCUCGCGCGAUUGGAGCGGCCGAUAUCAGAUUAGGUAGUUGGUGAGGUAAAGGCUCACCAAGCCGACGAUCUGUAGCUGGUCUGAGAGGACGACCAGCCUCACUGGGACUGAGACACGGGCCCAGACUCCUACGGGAGGCAGCAGUGGGGAAUUUUUGGUACAAUAGGCGGCGAAGUACGUGAUCCACGCAACUAGCCGCGU
rnacentral:rRNA from 1 species